rnacentral:rRNA from 1 species
CAGCAGCCGCGGUAAUACGUAGGUGGCAAGCGUUGUCCGGAAUUAUUGGGCGUAAAGGGCUCGCAGGCGGCCAUUCAAGUUAGAUGUGAAAGCCCUGGGCUCAACCUAGGAAUUGCAUUUGAUACUGUUUGGCUUGAGUUCGGGAGAGGUGAGUGGAAUUCCCAGUGUAGAGGUGAAAUUCGUAGAUAUCAGGAGGAACACCUGUGGCGAAAGCGGCUCACUGGACCAUAACUGACGCUGAGGCACGAAAGCUAGGGGAGCAAACAGGAUUAGAUACCCCAGUAGUCCCUGUCUCUUAUAC